rnacentral:rRNA from 1 species
AACCAGCUCUUCAAGUGGUCGGGAAUAUUAUUGGGCUUAAAGUGUCCGUAGCCGGUUUGAUAAGUUCCUGGUUAAAUCUGGCAGCUUAACUGUCAGUUGGCUAGGAAUACUAUCUUACUAGAGGGUGGGAAAGGUCUGAGGUACUCCAGGGGUAGCGGUGAAAUGCUAUAAUCCUUGGGGGACCACCAGUGGCGAAGGCGUCAGACUGGAACACGCCUGACGGUGAGGGACGAAAGCCAGGGGGAGCGAACGGGAUUAGAUACCCCGGUAGUCCUGGCUGUAAACGAUGCGUGCUAGGUGUUGGUAGGGCUAUGAGCCGUAUCAGUGCCGUAGGGAAACUGUUAAGCGCGCCGCCUGGGAAGUACGCUCGCAAGGGUGAAACUUAAAGGAAUUGGGCGGGGGAGCACCACGAAGGGGUGAAGCCUGCGGUUC